AUUUGUAUAAUAUAAUAAUAAUAUAUUUGACUUCCAAUCAAAUAAUCUAGUAAUAGUACAAAUA
rnacentral:tRNA from 1 species